rnacentral:tRNA from 1 species
GGAGGGAACAGUGCAGUGGCAGAGCGAAUGCUUAGCACGCAUGAGUUCCUGAGUUCAAACCCCAGUACCUCCA